GAUGAACGCUGGCUACAGGCUUAACACAUGCAAGUCGAGGGGAAACGACGGGGAAGCUUGCUUCCCCGGGCGUCGACCGGCGCACGGGUGAGUAACGCGUAUCCAACCUGCCUCUGACUGAGGGAUAACCCGUCGAAAGUCGGCCUAAUACCUCAUGGCAUCGUCUGCGGGCAUCCAACGACGAUUAAAGAUUUCAUCGGUCAGGGAUGGGGAUGCGUCUGAUUAGCUUGUUGGCGGGGUAACGGCCCACCAAGGCGACGAUCAGUAGGGGUUCUGAGAGGAAGGUCCCCCACAUUGGAACUGAGACACGGUCCAAACUCCUACGGGAGGCAGCAGUGAGGAAGAUUGGUCAAUGGGCGGGAGCCUGAACCAGCCAAGUAGCGUGCAGGAUGAUGGCCCUAUGGGUUGUAAACUGCUUUUAUGCGGGGAUAAAGUGAGGGACGUGUCCCUCAUUGCAGGUACCGCAUGAAUAAGGACCGGCUAAUUCCGUG
rnacentral:rRNA from 1 species